rnacentral:rRNA from 1 species
GAUACUGGUUGGCUAGAGUAUGGGAGAGGAUGGUAGAAUUCCAGGUGUAGCGGUGAAACGCGUAGAGAUCUGGAGGAAUACCGAUGGCGAAGGCAGCCAUCUGGCCUAAUACUGACACUGAGGUACGAAAGCAUGGGGAGCAAACAGGACUAGAUACCCUGGUAGUCCAUGCCGUAAACGAUGUCUACUAGCCGUUGGGGUCUUUGAGACUUUAGUGGCGCAGCUAACGCGAUAAGUAGACCGCCUGGGGAGUACGGUCGCAAGACUAAAACUCAAAUGAAUUGACGGGGGCCCGCACAAGCGGUGGAGCAUGUGGUUUAAUUCGAUGCAACGCGAAGAACCUUACCUGGUCUUGACAUAGUAAGAACUUUCCAGAGAUGGAUUGGUGCCUUCGGGAGCUUACAUACAGGUGCUGCAUGGCUGUCGUCAGCUCGUGUCGUGAGAUGUUGGGUUAAGUCCCGCAACGAGCGCAACCCUUUUCCUUAUUUGCCAGCGGGUUAAGCCGGGAACUUUAAGGAUACUGCCAGUGACAAACUGGAGGAAGGCGGGGACGACGUCAAGUCAUCAUGGCCCUUACGACCAGGGCUACACACGUGCUACAAUGGUCGGUACAAAGGGUUGCUACCUAGCGAUAGGAUGC